rnacentral:rRNA from 16 species
UUGAAGAGUUUGAUCCUGGCUCAGAUUGAACGCUGGCGGCAUGGCUAAAGCAUGCAAGUCUGGGAGAACCUUCGGGGGACACCGGCGAAAGGGCGAGUAAUGCGAUCGAACGUACCCCAAUGUGGGGGAUAGCGUCGGGAAACCGGCGGUAAUACCCCAUGUGCUCUACGGAGGAAGUUGGGAGCGGCGAUCGUCCUAUCAGGUUGUUGGUGAGGUAACGGCUCACCAAGCCGAAGACGGGUAGCGGGUGUGAGAGCAUGGCCCGCCGCAUCGGGACUGAGACACUGCCCGGACUCCUACGGGAGGCUGCAGCGACGAAUCUUCCGCAAUGCGCGAAAGCGUGACGGAGCAAUGCCGCGUGUGGGAUGAAGGCGCUCUGCGUCGUAAACCACUGUCAGGCCCUAGAACCAACGAUCAGGGCCAGAGGAAGGGCCGGCUAAACUCGUGCCAGCAGCCGCGGUAAGACGAGUGGCCCAAGCGUUAAUCGGAAUCACUGGGCUUAAAGCGUGCGCAGGCGGACCUUCAGGCGUCCCGUGAAAUGCCCCGGCUCAACCGGGGAAUUGCGGGGCGAACCGUUGGUCUUGAGGCAGGUAGGGGGGUGCAGAACUGUCGGUGGAGCGGUGAAAUGCGUAGAUAUCGACAGGAAUGCCGAAGGCGAAGGCGGCACCCUGGGCCUGUCCUGACGCUCAUGCACGAAAGCGUGGGGAGCAAACAGGAUUAGAUACCCUGGUAGUCCUAGCCGU